GCGUCAUCACCCAGCUCCUGCUGUCCUCUACAACAAACAAAGAAAAAUCCACGAUGGUUGAAUUUUCAACAAUUAAAAUCAUUAAUAUUCACAAUCACUUUUUAAUCUAGAUUUUUCUAUGUACUAUUAAAUUAUUUUUUAUGGGAAACAAUUUGAUUUGAAUAAAUAUUGCAUCCAAUAUGACAUAAAAUAAACAAAAAAACAUACUAAACUGGAUGAAUCACGACAAAACAAGUAGAUUAUGUUGAAUAAAAUAAUUAAGUAUUACAGAACAAGGAAAAAUAUUCAGUCUUUUUAUUUUUUCCUCUAUGUGCUCCAAAAUGGAAAGAAAUCAGAUAAUGAAUAAUUUUCCAGAGAGCUACAAAUCAACGAUUAACAAAUGAACAGGUUUAAGCUCUACAAGCUUCUUCAUAUAAAAUCCAAGAUGUUUUAUAUUUUACACCAGUCUUUUUUGUUGGAAUCUUUAAUAAAAAAACAAAUUAAUGGAACAGCUUAAUGUUAAGAAGACUUUAUCAGAUGAUUAUAUCCACAAAAUUGGUAUUUUUUCGAUCAAGUUAAUGGAAUUUUUAUGCUACGUGAGUUAUCAUAUUCAAGUUGGACUCUCGAAGAGGAUCAACAAAAAUUAUUUCAGCUCAUUUAGCAUACAUAAUCAAGGUUAAAAGUAUCGCAAAGUAUUAGCGUGUGUGGACUUUUUGUCGACUAGAUGAUAUGACGUCUGUCAACAAACGUCACAUCAAUUUAUCCCAAGUACUUAGUAAUAUUUUUAGUAAUAAUUCUUAUAAAAUUCUAUGACAUUCUGAAUAAUCUUAACUAGAAAUAUGGCAUCUAUAUUAAUAUUAAAAUUCAAAUAACCAGAUAGAAAUAACUGAGAAAUCUCUAAAUUCAUCAGAUGAAUUUUUUUCUCAUCAUUUAAUUUUAUUCAUUCUUUAAAAUUUUUUCAUUUAAAAACUUCGAGAAUAGUCUGCAUAAUCAGGAUUAGAUGUAAUGCAGUAAUCAUUGCGGUUCAUAAUUUAAAAUAAUAAUUAUCUUCUGGACACUUUUUAUUACCAGAGACAAAGAUUACUGGCAAAGAGUGAUAGCUUCAUUGAUGGAUUAAAAAAAAAAUGACAACAAAUUAUUUAACAUAUAUAUUUUCAUUAUUAAAUAAUGAUAUUUUUUAUUUAUUAAAAACAAAAACAAACAAUUUGUCAUUCAUAUUUUUUAAAUACCAGUACUCAAUGUUGAGAACUAAUACAAUAUUACCUAUUUUAAUCUGUGUAAUUACAAUUUGUAAAACUGUCAACAGUUGAUAAUUUUGUAAAUAAAACAAGUAUUGUAUGUGAAAGA